GAUGAACGCUGGCGGCGUGCCUAAUACAUGCAAGUCGAGCGAACGGACGAGAAGCUUGCUUUUCUGAUGUUAGCGGCGGACGGGUGAGUAAAACGUGGAUAACCUACCUAUAAGACUGGGAUAACUUCGGGAAACCGGAGCUAAUACCGGAUAAUAUUUUGAACCGCAUGGUUCAAAAGUGAAAGACGGUCUUGCUGUCACUUAUAGAUGGAUCCGCGCUGCAUUAGCUAGUUGGUAAGGUAACGGCUUAACAAGGCAACGAUGCAUAGCCGACCUGAGAGGGUGAUCGGCCACACUUGAACUGAGACACGGUCCAGACUCCUACGGGAGGCAGCAGUAGGGAAUCUUCCGCAAUGGGCGAAAGCCUGACGGAGCCACGCCGCGUGAGUGAUGAAGGUCUUCGGAUCGUAAAACUCUGUUAUUAGGGAAGAACAUAUGUGUAAGUAACUGUGCACAUCUUGACGGUACCUAAUCAGAAAGCCACGGCUAACUACGU
rnacentral:rRNA from 1 species